rnacentral:rRNA from 1 species
UACGGGGGGGGCAAGCGUUGUUCGGAAUUACUGGGCGUAAAGGGCUCGUAGGCGGCCAACUAAGUCGGACGUGAAAUCCCCAGGCUCAACCUGGGAACUGCGUCCGAUACUGGAUGGCUUGAAUUCGGGAGAGGGAUGCAGAAUUCCAGGUGUAGCGGUGAAAUGCGUAGAUAUCUGGAGGAAUACCGGUGGCGAAGGCGGCAUCCUGGACCGGCAUUGACGCUGAGUGAGCGAAAGCUAGGGGAGCAAACGGG